rnacentral:rRNA from 1 species
GGAUGAGGAGAAGUCUGACCGAGCAUGCCGCGUGAACGAAGAAGGUCUUCGGAUUGUAAAGUUCUGUUAUUUGGAAAGAAAGUAUGGGACAGGAAAUGGUUCUAUAUUGACGGUACCGAAUGAGGAAGCCCCGGCUAACUAUGUGCCAGCAGCCGCGGUAAUACGA